rnacentral:miRNA from 1 species
GGUGCAGGGCCUGGUCGAUG